rnacentral:rRNA from 1 species
CCUACGGGAGGCAGCAGUGAGGAAUAUUGGUCAAUGGCCGAGAGGCUGAACCAGCCAAGUCGCGUGAGGGAAGACGGCCCUACGGGUUGUAAACCUCUUUUGUCGGGGAGCAAAGCGAGUCACGUGUGACUCAUUGAGAGUACCCGAAGAAAAAGCAUCGGCUAACUCCGUGCCAGCAGCCGCGGUAAUACGGAGGAUGCGAGCGUUAUCCGGAUUUAUUGGGUUUAAAGGGUGCGCAGGCGGAGGUGCAAGUCAGCGGUCAAAUUGCGGGGCUCAACCCCGUACUGCCGUUGAAACUGCAGCCCUUGAGAGCGCGAGAGGUAUGCGGAAUGCGUGGUGUAGCGGUGAAAUGCAUAGAUAUCACGCAGAACUCCGAUUGCGAAGGCAGCAUACCGGCGCGCAACUGACGCUCAUGCACGAAAGCGUGGGUAUCGAACAGGAUUAGAUACCCCUGUAGUC